UUCUUUGUGAUCAUGGGACCAAGAGAAUGAGUUUCCACAGGUGAAAUUGGAGGUCUGCCUACCUAUUUUACCUCCUUCCUUGUGUUUCCUUCCAUCAAAACAUCUACAAAGAAAAAUGGAAUAAGGUCCGACCCAUCGCAACCCCACGGACAACAUUCCUCCAG